GACGUAGGGCGCGAGCGUUGUCCGGAAUCAUUGGGCGUAAAGAGCGCGUAGGCGGCUAGAUAAGUCCGGUGUGAAAGUCACAGGCUCAACCUGUGAAUGCCGCUGGAAACUGUCUGGCUAGAGUCCGGAAGGGGCGAGUGGAAUUCCUGGUGUAGCGGUGAAAUGCGCAGAUAUCAGGAGGAACACCAAUGGCGAAGGCAGCUCGCUGGGACGGUACUGACGCUGAGGCGCGAAAGCGUGGGGAGCAAACAGG
rnacentral:rRNA from 1 species